UCGCCGCCCCGCACUCCCGGGGCGUCUCGUUCUCAUCGCGAGAUGAGGCGCACCCAGAGCGUACACGCUGGGACCCGAAAGAUGGUGAACUAUGCCUGGUCAGGACGAAGUCAGGGGAAACCCUGAUGGAGGUCCGUAGCGAUUCUGACGUGCAAAUCGAUCGUCGGAACUGGGUAUAGGGGCGAAAGACUAAUCGAACCGUCUAGUAGCUGGUUCCCUCCGAAGUUUCCCUCAGGAUAGCUGGCGCUCGCUUUGCGAGUCUCAUCCGGUAAAGCGAAUGAUUAGAGGCAUUGGGGUCGAAACGGCCUCAACCUAUUCUCAAACUUUAAAUGGGUGAGAUCUCCGGCUUGCUCG
rnacentral:rRNA from 1 species